GGAUGAACGCUGGCGGCGUGCCUAAUACAUGCAAGUCGAGCGAACGGACGAGACGCUUGCUUCUCUGAUGUUAGCGGCGGACGGGUGAGUAACACGUGGAUAACCUACCUAUAAGACUGGGAUAACUUCGGGAAACCGUAGCUAAUACCGGAUAAUAUUUUGAACCGCAUGGUUCAAAAGUGAAAGACAGUCUUGCUGUCACUUAUAGAUGGAUCCGCGCUGCAUUAGCUAGUUGGUAAGGUAACGGCUUACCAAGGCAACGAUGCAUAGCCGACCUGAGAGGGUGAUCGGCCACACUGGAACUGAGACACGGUCCAGACUCCUACGGGAGGCAGCAGUAGGGAAUCUUCCGCAAUGGGCGAAAGCCUGACGGAGCAACGCCGCGUGAGUGAUGAAGGUCUUCGGAUCGUAAAACUCUGUUAUUAGGGAAGAACAUAUGUGUAAGUAACUGUGCACAUCUUGACGAUACCUAAUCAGAAAGCCACGGCUAACUACGUG
rnacentral:rRNA from 1 species